AGAUAAGAUUACAGAUAAUGCUAUUUUAAAAGUAAAAGACUACUUCAUUAAACAGAUUCGUGCGUUUAUGAAUGGUGAUAUUCCAGUUGCGACUGUAUCUAACAAAUCAUCUGCAUCUAGUAAUACGGUUAAACCUAUUGCGAGUGCUUGGAAACGUAAUAGUUAUGGUACGUAUUAUAUGGCAGAGAAAGCGCGUUUUAUCAACGGUAAUCAACCUAUUACCGUGAGACUACAAGGGCCAUUUACAACUUGUCC
rnacentral:ncRNA from 1 species